CAAGAAGUAAUUUAAUGUAUUACUCCUUCCCUUUUUUCUGUCUUUGGAAAGUUCAGGACAACAGAUGGCAGAGCUUGUGUGUAAAUGUCCUCAGGGAUCAUCUCACCUCAGCGGAAGACAGGAAGGGCAGAGCAGAAGAACUGUACUGGAGCCUGUGGGAGAAUGAAGAUUCUAGUUCUGGUAGAACUUCCUGCUUACUGAAGAGCAUUGACAGAACACAGUGAGCAACUUUAAGAUGCCAAUUCUUCACAUGUUUUCACAGUUUCAUCAAGAAAGACAGACACCUGAGAUGAGUGAUAAUCCUGUAAGAUCGGCCCAAAUCCUGCCGGCUUGAAAGCAGAAAGAGUUAACAGGCUGUGUGACGAUUGCUGCUUUUCUUAGUGAAGAUACUAUAAAGAUUCAUGUGCCUUUUUCCAGAAGACAGACCAUAUAUGGUAAAAAAAGAAAAAACAUGCAAUGUUUGCAAAUUUCCUG
rnacentral:lncRNA from 1 species